rnacentral:rRNA from 1 species
CAAUAGCGUAUAUUUAAGUUGUUGCAGUUAAAAAGCUCGUAGUCGGAUUUUGGCUGAGAACGAUCGGUCCGCCGUUAGGUGUGCACUGAUUGGUCUCAGCUUCCUGGUGAGGAGGUGUGCUUCACGGCCACUUAGUCACCGUUGUUACUUUGAAAAAAUUAGAGUGUUCAAAGCGGGCUUACGCUUGAAUAUAUUAGCAUGGAAUAACACCAUAGGACUCCUGUCCUAUUUCGUUGGUCUCGGGACGGGAGUAAUGAUUAAGAGGAACAGUUGGGGGCAUUCGUAUUUCAUUGUCAGAGGUGAAAUUCUUGGAUUUAUGAAAGACGAACUUCUGCGAAAGCAUUUGCCAAGGAUGUUUUCAUUGA